rnacentral:lncRNA from 1 species
AAGAGCCAGAAGACAUUUCAAAUAACUUCGAAUGAAGACUCUAAAGAUCCCGAAGAAAACAGACAGGACAAAGGAUGAGAGGUCACAGGAGACCAACUCAGAGGAAGGCGACAGAAGAAAAUGGCGAGAAAAGGCCCCUAAGUGGCAGAGAGAAGAGCAAAGAUUCUGGGACUAACCUAGAUCGCUCUGAAGGACACGGAGGGGCGAGGACAGGGAUGACUAGAAGGAUGCCUAUGGCCUAAGAAGACGCCAAGAGAAUUGGGACUCUCGAAGCAAGGGCGGAUACCGAUAGAACUCUCGAGCGGAAUAGGGCCCCUAAAGGCGGAGGGACGGGUUUAAAUAGACCCUGGGAUCCGACGCCAUAAUGAUCGCGAAUCCCCCC